ACCUGUGGGCGUCCACCCUGCCCUGCACUUCACCUUAACCCUCCAAAACCAUACAGCAGCCACAGCGGAGCUCAUUCGACGACAUCCUCGCCCCUGCCUUUCCUCCCUGUGCUUAGAACGUCCUUCUAAUUCGCCGGGAUGACCCCUCGGAGCACCAAGAAGCUGUGAUCCUCCCUCCAAACCCUCCACUGUGUGUUUCCCUCCUCUGUGCUUCCGUUAACAUCCUGUGAUUACUUUCACCAGUUGUUGCUUCAGUAGCUUCCUCCAUCACUAGACUGUGAGCUUCCUGAAAGCAGGACUGUGUCUCAUCUGUCUGCCUCCAGACUCCCACCUAGAAGGCGCACGGGACGUGUCCAUGAUUGCCCUGCAGAAGCCCGUGGCAGGAGCACAUGCGAACUGACAAGCAGGGCAGCCUUCACCAUCUGCCUUGGAAGCCACUUAGUGUGUUCAGUUCCUGUCACUCCUGUUGCUGCUCUAGAGCAGGGAAGCCCAAGUUCUUCAGUCUAAACGACUGGAAGUCACUAGUGAGGUGGCAGUUUGGUGGUUAAAAUCACAGGUUCGAGGGGCCAGCCUGACUGCCAAACCCAGCCUUACCCCCCAGCUCUCUGACCUUGGGCAGAUAGCUACGAGCAUGGUAACAGCGCCCUCCUCGAUGGGUCACGGCAUUAAAUGGACAGGUGCAACCCUUCGCCUGUGCAUAGCACAUAGUAAGUGUUCAGUGAAUCUUACUGAUUGUUACUAUUCGUUGAAUUCAGAUAUAUGUGGUGCUUAAGCUCCGAAAUUACUGCUGCCAACACUGAAGGCUAUCUACUCCAGAAUAAUUGUUACCAUUUGUUGAGCACCUACAAUAUACUAGGUGUGCUCCACGCAUCUUACAUCAAUUCUCUCAUUUGAAAAAUCUUUAGGCUCGGGGUGCCUGGGUGGCUCAGUGGGUUAAAGCCUCUGCUUUCGGCUCAGGUCAUGAUCCCAGUGACCUGGGAUUGAGCCCCGCAUCAGGCUCUCUGCAUGGUGGGGAGCCUGCUUCCCUUCCUCUCUCUCUGCCUGCCUCUCUGCCUACUUGUGAUCUCUGUCAAAUAAAUAAAAAUAUAAUCUUUUAAAAAAAUAAAUAAUAAAAAUCUUUA